rnacentral:rRNA from 1 species
UACGUAGGGGGCAAGCGUUGUCCGGAAUCAUUGGGCGUAAAGCGCGUGUAGGCGGCUCGGUAAGUCUGCUGUGAAAGUCCAGGGCUCAACCCUGGGAUGCUGGUGGAUACUGUCGAGCUCGAGUCCGGAAGAGGCGAGUGGAAUUCCUGGUGUAGCGGUGAAAUGCGCAGAUAUCAGGAGGAACACCAAUGGCGAAGGCAGCUCGCUGGGACGUGACUGACGCUGAGACGCGAAAGCGUGGGGAGCAAACAGG